AACGAACGCUGGCGGCAUGCCUAACACAUGCAAGUCGAACGAGACCUUCGGGUCUAGUGGCGCACGGGUGCGUAACGCGUGGGAACCUGCCCUUAGGUUCGGAAUAACUCCCCGAAAGGGGUGCUAAUACCGGAUAAUGUCUUCGGACCAAAGAUUUAUCGCCUUUGGAUGGGCCCGCGUUGGAUUAGCUAGUUGGUAGGGUAAAAGCCUACCAAGGCGACGAUCCAUAGCUGGUCUGAGAGGAUGAUCAGCCACACUGGGACUGAGACACGGCCCAGACUCCUACGGGAGGCAGCAGUGGGGAAUAUUGGACAAUGGGCGAAAGGCUGAACCAGCAAGGGCGCGUGAGUGAUGAAGGCCUGAGGGUUGUAAAGCUCUUUUACCCGGGAUGAUAAUGACAGUACCGGGAGAAUAAGCUCCGGCUAACUCCGUG
rnacentral:rRNA from 1 species